rnacentral:rRNA from 1 species
AGCGAACGCUGGCGGCAGGCCUAACACAUGCAAGUCGCACGAACCCUUCGGGGUUCGUGGCGGACGGGUGAGUAACACGUGGGAACGUGCCUUUAGGUUCGGAAUACCUCAGGGAAACUUGUGCUAAUACCGAAUGUGCCCUUCGUGGGAAAGAUUUAUCGCCUUUAGAGCGGCCCGCGUCUGAUUAGCUAGUUGGUGAGGUAAUGGCUCACCAAGGCUACGAUCAGUAGCUGGUCUGAGAGGAUGACCAGCCACAUUGGGACUGAGACACGGCCAAAACUCAUACGGGAGGAAGCAGUGGGGAAGGUUGCGCAAUGGGCGAAAGCCUGACGCAGCCAUGCCGAGGGGAUGAUGAAGGUCUGAGGAUUGUAAAAGACUUUCACCGGGGAAGAUAAUGAAGGGAGACGGAGAAGAAGCCCCGGCUAACUGAGGGCCAGCCGCCGCCGGAACAC